rnacentral:misc_RNA from 1 species
GUGCGAGGGUGUCCCACUUCUCUCUUCAAGUUUUUUCUUCAGUGGUAGUUUCUCAGUAACCCUCCCCUGUCCUUUGGGCAGGGGAAGGUCUCUCCUCCCACUCGAAGGGUGGAUCCAACGUCAUCCUCUUAUAAUUUUGAUUUGGGUUGUUUUUUGAUCAGCCUGCAUCAAAGAGAGGGUUCCAAAAUAGAUCGGCUUAAUUGUUUUCAAUCUCUGUUUUUGGGUGUUCUCCCAUCGGCUGGCAUCAACAAUAAUGAUGGUACUAGGUAGUUGCCGUCUUCAUUUUCGUCAAGGCUAUAUGAGAAUGAGAUGCCCAUCUUGCCAAGCCUUUUCCCGGUUAAAUCCGGCACUAGUCCUAACCUAGAUUUUCUUGAGCUCUGCUGCAAGGACUUAUGGGUCCCCCCUGUGUCUUAUUUCGUGUCCUUUGACAGUUUCCACCAUGGAAGAUGAUGUUUUAUGCUAAGAAAGAUGGAGCUGCUUCUGUCAGAGAGAUUGAAGAUUUGAGUGUUACCCAUUUUCUUCUAAGGAUUCGAUGUGUUUAAUGGAUCUGGGUUAUCUUGUGGCAAAGUUAUUUUUUAUGGGUUUUACGGCUUGUAUCUGUGAUCCUAUCUAUGAAGUAU